GCAGGGUGGGGUGGUGCAUGCCUGUAAUCCCAGCAGCUCAGGAGGCUGAGACAGGAGAAUUGUGUGUUCAAAGCCAGCUUUAGCCAAAGCAAGGUAUUAAGCAACUCAAUGAGACCCUGUCUCUA
rnacentral:sRNA from 1 species